GCGCCGGUAGUGUAAUGGCGUAAAGCACUUUUCGACCUGUCAUCAGGAGGUGCGGGUUCAAGUCCCGUCUGGUGCC
rnacentral:tRNA from 1 species